UACAUUAUAGCAAGCAAACGAGCCUACCUCUUUCUUUUUCGUUUUCAAGCGACAAAACCUAGUCUAGAAACGCGAUCCAUCAAUUCCAGCGACCCAAAUUGCGAGCUAGCGCCCAGCAGUCUAUGUCACUCGCGCGUGUCUAUCUCCGUAAAAGGAUCGUUGUCGCAUUUUCCAGGUGUUAUCAUCUUGGUGCCCUGCUUGUCCUUAUUCAAGAUCGGACGACUCCCUUCAUUUUCCCGUUGGAAAUUGGUACUCGUUCUUAGCUGAAAACCUUAUCCUUCAUUUCGAAUUUAAAUCUGUUGAAAUUUCAUCCCGAAUUUUUCCACUAUUUUCUGCCAUAAUUUAAUUCUAUAAAUACCUUCAUCUUUCUCUUUGUGAAGGGGGAAAAAAAGAGUGAGAGGGUUACGAAAAUGGGAAAAAGUAGAGAAAAUUAUUAGUCAUAUACAUUUAUAUAUGAAUACUUAAAAAAGAGGUUUAAAAAUAGAUUGAAAAAUCCAGAUUUUACUCCCUCUGUUUACUGGUUUGCUUCUGUUUUCUUUAUCGAACUUCUCGGAGUUUUGUUUCGCUGGUGGAAGCUUGUUGUCUCUUCUCAUUCUGUCUCGGUUAAGUUGCCCGAAAAAAGGUAAUAGUUCCUUCUUCACUUACGUUAAUCGUUAUGUUAUGUGUUGAACUUAUCUCGGUUAGAAAAUCUAAACAUUUAAAUGUGCAUUUACUUUUCCUUGCACAGUGAAGUCAUUUAGCUGAAUUAUGCUUAAUAUGCUAGUGCAGUGGUCUCUCUCUGGUUAUUUUAAUGAAGUUGAAGCAUUAUUCCUUUACAACUGUAACAUAUCAGUGGAUUAGGAUGUUUAAGUGGUCCAUUUUAAUAGGCUUAUGAUGUAUUAAUGUAUAUCUUCUAUGUGUAUAUGAUUAUAUCAUAAGUUAUGACUAUCAUUUUACUUUUCUAUAGUAUGUAGCUUGAAGAACAGACUCAAGCAUGCUUAAAAUCAUUAAUUGUCAUAUUCUUCUAUAAGUUCUUUUUUAUGCUAUGAGUGUAGUCUUCAAAUCAAAGUUUGUAAUGUGGGUUCUUCAUUUUUCUUAUAUGUUCAACUUCCUAGAAUAAUGGAAAUAAAUGUUUUAUAUUUUAAACAAGUUGUUUAGUAGAUUAAAGGGUUGGCUUUGUUAAUGAUAAGUUUUAGUGUUACUUCUUGUUUAUAUUGAGAUCCUUCAUUGCUCUUAAUACUAUUUAGUUAUGCUACUUGAUUGUUUAAACCACAUCUUUGCUAGAUGUUGACGAAAUUGAGCCUAACUAAUUUUUUUAUUUCGUUUUUGUUGCAUGUGAUACCACCCAAUCCUCUUGGACUCCAAUCUUCUUCACUCAUAUUCCGGAGGGGCCAUAAAGGCCCCAAAUCCCCUUUUUCCUUCGAGUCAGCCCCCUCGGCAAGCUGCAAAAAUGAUGUACAUGUUGAGGUCGAGGAAUGUAGGCUGGAAAUUAAUAUUGCAGGUCUCAGAAAAGCCCAAAAGAAGGUGGUGGAAGUCUGAAAUGGGCAGCGUACAUUCAGCAUACAUCCCAAUAUACAAGAAAACGAGUUGAAAUAUGUAUCGUAUACAUCAUAUAUGUUUGGUGAACACACAUAUUUUAAGUGUGGAAAAGAAGGAAUAUAGGCCAAAAACCCAAAAAGGAAAUUUCCAGCAGGUCCAUUAGCAGGAAAUUGUGCCAAAGGCCCAAAAUCGGCAUCUCCCUCCUCCCUAUUUAUUUGUUAUUAUAUUGACUAACAUUACUUGAUUGAUUUUGGUUAAUUUAAUUAUAUUUCCAAGAUAGCUAUUUCUCUUUAUAUUCAAAAACACAAAUAUUAAUUUA